AUUGAACGCUGGCGGCAUGCCUUACACAUGCAAGUCGAACGGUAACGGGUCCUUCGGGAUGCCGACGAGUGGCGAACGGGUGAGUAAUAUAUCGGAACGUGCCCAGUAGUGGGGGAUAACUGCUCGAAAGAGCAGCUAAUACCGCAUACGACCUGAGGGUGAAAGGGGGGGAUCGCAAGACCUCUCGCUAUUGGAGCGGCCGAUAUCAGAUUAGCUAGUUGGUGGGGUAAAGGCCUACCAAGGCAACGAUCUGUAGUUGGUCUGAGAGGACGACCAGCCACACUGAGACUGAGACACGGCCCAGACUCCUACGGGAGGCAGCAGUGGGGAAUUUUGGACAAGGGGCGCAAGCCUGAUCCAGCAAUGCCGCGUGCAGGAAGAAGGCCUUCGGGUUGUAAACUGCUUUUGUCAGGGAAGAAAUCUUCUGGGCUAAUACCCCGGGAGGAUGACGGUACCUGAAGAAUAAGCACCGGCUAACUACGUGCCAGCAGCCGCCGUAA
rnacentral:rRNA from 1 species